ACGGGAGGCAGCAGUGGGGAAUUUUGCGCAAUGGGGGGAACCCUGACGCAGCAACGCCGCGUGCGGGAUGAAGGCCUUCGGGUUGUAAACCGCUUUCAGCAGGGACGAUUAUGACGGUACCUGCAGAAGAAGCUCCGGCUAACUACGUGCCAGCAGCCGCGGUAAUACGUAGGGAGCGAGCGUUAUCCGGAUUCAUUGGGCGUAAAGCGCGUGUAGGCGGCGGCGCAAGCGGAAUCUCUAAUCUGAGGGCUCAACCCCCAGCCGGAUUCCGAACUGCGCUGCUCGAGUGCGGUAGGGGCAGGCGGAAUUCCCGGUGUAGCGGUGAAAUGCGCAGAUAUCGGGAAGAACACCGAUGGCGAAGGCAGCCUGCUGGGCCGCCACUGACGCUGAGACGCGAAAGCGUGGGGAGCGAACAGGAUUAGAUACCCUGGUA
rnacentral:rRNA from 2 species